ACACAAAGGUAAUGAGGCUGCGGAUAGGCUGGCCCGGGAAGGAUCCAGAAAGAAGUGACUUCAUGUGCAGAUGGGCCAUUGCAGCAACGAGUGGUGUUCAUUUGUCUUGUCCCUUGGUCUAGUGGUAUAUACCAUCGUGUGCUGAGGUGCUCUUUGAUGUUUAAAUAGUGGCUGCAGUCCAUACGCAAAAUAAUUAUUGUAAAAAAUAUAUAGCUUGAGAGAAUAGCUCUAUUUUUUUUCGGUUGUUUGGUAUGUUCGGUAGAAUGCUAGUUCCUGAUGAAGCCCUUAGUACUUGGAACGAAACGUCGGGCAACACCAAAUGCGGCGCAACUAGAGACUUGUAAUAUUUUGAUGAAGCUUUAAAUUGUAAUUGAAAACUACACAAAUGGUCGUUGCUUGUAAGUGGAUUUUUUUGUUGGAAUAUGGCUUUAUGAAGGAAUGCAUUGUUGACCUUCAUACCCAACUGGGGGGGUAACUCAAUUUUAUGGUAAGAGUGGAACCUCCUUGUUGUUUCAAAUAAAUGUUGUUGCAUGUAAAA